UCGAAACCUGCCUAGCAGAGCGACCCGCGAACAAGUGAAAACAAACCUGGGCGGAACGAGGAGGGGCGUAUGCCUUGAUCGCCCGCCCAUUGGACCACGACUCACUGUGCGUUUGCAUUGAUAUGCGGGCGGAUGGGUGGGUUGUUGCGUCUAUUAAAACAAAAAACUAGCGUGGCAUGCGCCAAAGAAAUCUUAACAGAAAAAUAGGGUUGCCCCAUUCACGGAGGCAUCCUUUGGAUCCGAUACU
rnacentral:misc_RNA from 1 species